AGCGACCACGCGAGUGUGAGCGAAUCUCAAAAAUAACGUCUCAGUUCGGAUUGUAGUCUGCAACUCGACUACAUGAAGCUGGAAUCGCUAGUAAUCGCGGAUCAGAAUGCCGCGGUGAAUACGUUCCCGGGUCUUGUACACACCGCCCGUCACACCAUGGGAGUCAGUAACGCCCGAAGCCGGUGACCCAACCUAACAAGGGAGGGAGCCGUCGAAGGCGGGACGGAUGACUGGGGUGAAGUCGUAACAAGGUAAC
rnacentral:rRNA from 1 species